CUCUUAAAUGGUCCAUCAUAUAACCUAACUUACUUAAAAGACUAACUUAUCCUUGAAAUAAUUAAAACCCUCCCAUUUUCUUAAAGUUUGACUACUACUACUACUGUUGCUCGACAUUCUAAAUAGAUGAAAACCUUUCAUCUUCCAUGAAACUCCCUCAAAUCAUACAUCCUCUAAAAUUCAACUAAAAAAUCCCAAAAAAAAAAUUGAUUCAUUUUUGCGAUUUUUUUGCGAGAUUAGUGAUCAACUGCGGACUUUUUAAUUGUGGCUAUAUCUCUUUGGUGGUGAAAGUUUUUGGGCUCAAAAGUUAGGGUUUUUCGACCGAUUUUUUUGACGAAAGUCACGCAAUCCAUGAGGCUAAUUGUCUAAAAUUGACCUCUACAUGAUAACUAAGUAUAGUUGGUCUAUCUAUCUUUGGCCAAUGCUCGUAAUCAGGGAUGGAGUUGAUUGAAUUCCCGUAUGCUUGUUUGUAAAUUUGCACCGAGUACCAUGUACUGCAAAAUUUGUAUGGGUCCAAUCCAGAAGACAUUAUUGCUCUUAGUGCAUGUCUGCAAGGGAAUCCUGAUAUUUGUCAUGCCCCGCAUAUGCCCUGAUAUUUGUAUGGGUCCAAUACAGGUAGCAUUGGUUUUCCUUCUCUCACUUCAUACUCACCUUCUGUACUCUGGUAAGCUUUUCAAGUUUUUGAUUCAAAAGUAAGCUUUUGUAUCCUCUUCACUACAUUACGGCAUGGCUCAUACUCAUUCUAAUCCUUGCAUUUUCUGUCUUCUUGUUGCUAGUUUAACCAUGCACAUUCUUCUUAUUCCUCUUACAAUUGAAAAUAAUAUGAGUUAGGUACAAUAUUGUAAAAUAGAUACAUGAAACAAGUUUGAAUUACAGAAUAUCAUACCUUCCAAAAGUGUCAAUACAGGCAUGCAUCUAUCCACUCCCAAAGUGGCAUUAAAACUCUACAAAAUUUGUCUUGUUCUCAUCACUGCAAAUUUUGGGAUCAAAUUUAUGUUUUGUCCAUCUUGAUUGAUCCCCCAAAUUAGACAACCAAACACAAGCAUCUGGAUUAACUUUCUGAAUUCUUUCCAUUGCCUUUUUAAAUGUGAAAGGAGAAGUGGCACUACAAGCUAGCCAAAACAAUGAAUACAUUGAUAGGCUGCCUAUUUUCAUCAUCAUGCUGAUCUACACUAGCGUGCCUACACCUAACUGCUGCAUUAAACUCCUCCUCUGUGACAACCAUAGCAUCAAUCUCUCUUUGGGUGUUAAGUAAGCCCUCCUUCCUUGUCGUGGUCUUAGGUAUUUUGUGAAGGAUUAAAGCUGAGCUAUUUGAAACACUUAAGGAAUGUAAAGGAGUAGGUGAUGGCUGUUUAAUUACAAGUGGUGCAUUAGAGAAAGAUUGUUGUUGGAUAGUAUUGUGUUUAGUACUAGCAAGUUCAAGCUUCCUCUUGAUAGAUAACUUUCUAGGUUUUACAGCUUUACCCUUACCCUUUUUUUCUCAUUUUUCUAAACCAUUCUCUAUCUCAAUGUCAUUCCAGAAAUGUUCUAUGCUAGGAGUAUACUCACAAUCAUUAUUCACCACCAGACUCUUAUUAGCAACUGAUUUAGUAAGCCUUCUAGCAGCAAUAACACAAUCACUAGCCUUAUCAACUGUACCAAUCCAAACUGUUAUAACUUUUCUACUACUUAGCCUAUCUAACAUAGACAUUAAAUCACUAUUAGAAGUAAUAACAUCUUUCAUGUUAUAGGAGUAGUGAAAACUAGGGAAUUUAGGGUAAUGGUAGUUAUUUUUCCGAAAUCCUUCCUCACAUUCAAUGAUCAAAUCAAUCCACAUAACCUUGUCAACAUCUUCAAUAGACACAUUCACUUCAUUACCCAUAUAAUUGAAUUUACCAUCACUUGAUCCAUCCGCAACAACAAAAAUUUAAAGCAUACACUUCAACAUCACCGCACAAAGUAACACAUGUUAAGCAACAUAAGUAUGAAAUUCACUUGAUACCUAAUAACACUACAACAACAGAGCAUGCAAUUGACCUAAUACCUCAAUAAGUAUAAAAACAACCAAAAUUUGACUAGAAAUUAAUCGAAAUACCUUUGUUAUGAUCUGCAGAUAAAUUUUAGACAAUUAGCCUCCUAGAUUGUGCGAAUUUCAUCAAAAAUGAGAUCAUAAAACCCUAAUUGUCCAACCCAAAAACCACACUACCAAAGAGAUAUUGCCGCAAUUUAAUCGUCCACAAUUGAUAAACAAUCUCACAAAAAAAUCG